AUGACUAAAAAUAACUUAGCUAAAAGAGGCAUUGAGAAACCCCCUGCCUGUGUCUUCUGUACUGAUAAUGAAACCAUCGAUCAUCUUUUCUUUGGAUGUGUGGUAGCCAAACAAAUCUGGAGACAGGUCUCUGACUUAUUUUCCGUUGACAUGGGUUCAGAUUACUUCUCUAUUGCCAGGUUCUAGCUUGCCAAUAAAAAACAUACAGUGUUAAAUUCAGUAUGUGCAUGUAUUCUUUGGACUGUGUGGAAGAAAAGAAAUGCUCAUGUCUUUAGUAACGCUGUGUGGAUUGACUUGAAACAGAUUUGGAGGAAAGUGUUGGGAACGAUGAGGAGAUGUGUGAUCUUACUCAAAGAGAAAGUGGUGCCUCAAUGGGAGAAGAUAACUCACCAAAUUUCCUUAAUCUUGGAAUCCCCUUUCGAAAUUCUGGUGGGGUGA
rnacentral:rRNA from 1 species